rnacentral:rRNA from 1 species
AGCGAACGCUGGCGGCAGGCCUAACACAUGCAAGUCGAACGAACCUUUCGGGGUUAGUGGCGGACGGGUGAGUAACACGUGGGAACGUGCCUUUAGGUUCGGAAUAACUCCGGGAAACUUGUGCUAAUACCGAAUGUGCCCUUCGGGGGAAAGAUUUAUCGCCUUUAGAGCGGCCCGCGUUUGAUUAGCUAGUUGGUUGAGGUAAUGGCUCACCAAGGCGACGAUCAGUAGCUGGUCUGAGAGGAUGAUCAGCCACAUUGGGACUGAGACACGGCCCAAACUCCUACGGGAGGCAGCAGUGGGGAAUCUUGCGCAAUGGGCGAAAGCCUGACGCAGCCAUGCCGCGUGAAUGAUGAAGGUCUUAGGAUUGUAAAAUUCUUUCACCGGGGACGAUAAUGACGGUACCCGGAGAAGAAGCCCCGGCUAACUUCGUG